CAGUAGCCGCGGUAAUACGUAGGGUGCAAGCGUUAAUCGGAAUUACUGGGCGUAAAGCGUGCGCAGGCGGUUAUAUAAGACAGAUGUGAAAUCCCCGGGCUCAACCUGGGAACUGCAUUUGUGACUGUAUAGCUAGAGUACGGCAGAGGGGGAUGGAAUUCCGCGUGUAGCAGUGAAAUGCGUAGAUAUGCGGAGGAACACCGAUGGCGAAGGCAAUCCCCUGGGCCUGUACUGACGCUCAUGCACGAAAGCGUGGGGAGCAAACAGGAUUAGAUCCCCUGUAGUCCCUGUCUCUUAUACA
rnacentral:rRNA from 1 species